GGGGAUUUAGCUUAGUGGUGCAAGCACCUGCCUGGCAAGCAUGAGCUUGUGAGUUCAAUCCCCA
rnacentral:tRNA from 1 species